rnacentral:rRNA from 1 species
UACGUAGGGUCCGAGCGUUGUCCGGAAUUAUUGGGCGUAAAGGGCUCGUAGGCGGUUCGUCACGUCGGGAGUGAAAACUCGGGGCUCAACCCCGGGCCUGCAUUCGAUACGGGCAGACUAGAGUUCGGUAGGGGAGUCUGGAAUUCCUGGUGUAGCGGUGAAAUGCGCAGAUAUCAGGAGGAACACCGGUGGCGAAGGCGGGACUCUGGGCCGAUACUGACGCUGAGGAGCGAAAGCGUGGGGAGCAAACAGG